rnacentral:rRNA from 1 species
UACGUAGGGUGCGAGCGUUAAUCGGAAUUACUGGGCGGAAAGUGUGCGCAGGCGGCAGAGCAAGUCGAGUGUGAAAGCCCCGGGCUUAACUUGGGAAUUGCGCUCGAAACUACUUUGCUGGAGUGUGGCAGAGGAAGGUGGAAUUCCACGUGUAGCGGUGAAAUGCGUAGAGAUGUGGAGGAACACCAAUGGCGAAGGCAGCCUUCUGGGCCAACACUGACGCUCAUGCACGAAAGCGUGGGGAGCAAACAGG